rnacentral:misc_RNA from 1 species
ACAAUAAAUCACAAAUUGGCCGGAUAUAUGGUAUGAAGGUAGUGAACUCAUUAGUACCAAUGUAAUGUACAUUAUUUGAUGUAGAUUCAAUGCAACAAUGCAAAUCCUGUUGUUAUAAUGAAAUAUGGAGCUGCUUACAAAAAUUCUUUUUUAUUUAUUUUUAUUGUCAUUAAAAGUUGUUGAAUACUU